rnacentral:rRNA from 1 species
CAGUCGCCGCGGUAAUACAGAGGGUGCGAGCGUUAAUCGGAUUUACUGGGCGUAAAGCGUGCGUAGGCGGCUUCUUAAGUCGGAUGUGAAAUCCCUGAGCUUAACUUAGGAAUUGCAUUCGAUACUGGGAAGCUAGAGUAUGGGAGAGGAUGGUAGAAUUCCAGGUGUAGCGGUGAAAUGCGUAGAGAUCUAGAGGAAUACCGAUGGCGAAGGCAGCCAUCUGGCCUAAUACUGACGCUGAGGUACGAAAGCAUGGGGAGCAAACAGGAUUAGAUACCCCUGUAGUCCCUGUCUCUUAUAC